UACGAAGGGUGCAAGCGUUACUCGGAAUUACUGGGCGUAAAGAGCGCGCAGGCGGUCGUCCAAGUCGCGUGUGAAAGCCCCCGGCUCAACUGGGGAGGGUCACGCGAUACUGGUCGACUCGAAGGCAGGAGAGGGUAGUGGAAUUCCCGGUGUAGUGGUGAAAUGCAUAGAUAGCAUCCAGAACCCCGAUGCGAAGCAGCUGCCUAGACUGUAAACUGACGCUGAGGCACGAAAGCGUGGGGAGCAA
rnacentral:rRNA from 1 species